GACGAACGCUGGCGGCGUGCUUAACACAUGCAAGUCGAACGGAAAGGCCCAGCUUGCUGGGUGCUCGAGUGGCGAACGGGUGAGUAACACGUGGGUGAUCUGCCCCUAACUUCGGGAUAAGCUUGGGAAACUGGGUCUAAUACCGGAUAGGACAAUCGUUUAGUGUCGGUUGUGGAAAGUUUUUUCGGUUAGGGAUGAGCCCGCGGCCUAUCAGCUUGUUGGUGGGGUAAUGGCCUACCAAGGCGUCGACGGGUAGCCGGCCUGAGAGGGUGGACGGCCACAUUGGGACUGAGAUACGGCCCAGACUCCUACGGGAGGCAGCAGUGGGGAAUAUUGCACAAUGGGCGCAAGCCUGAUGCAGCGACGCCGCGUGGGGGAUGACGGCCUUCGGGUUGUAAACCUCUUUCGACAGGGACGAAGCUUUGGUGACGGUACCUGUAUAAGAAGCACCGGCUAACUACGUGC
rnacentral:rRNA from 1 species